rnacentral:rRNA from 1 species
AGUGAACGCUGGCGGUAGGCCUAACACAUGCAAGUCGAACGGCAGCACAGUAAGAGCUUGCUCUUACGGGUGGCGAGUGGCGGACGGGUGAGGAAUACAUCGGAAUCUACUUUUUCGUGGGGGAUAACGUAGGGAAACUUACGCUAAUACCGCAUACGACCUACGGGUGAAAGCAGGGGAUCUUCCGACCUUGCGCGAUUGAAUGAGCCGAUGUCGGAUUAGCUAGUUGGCGGGGUAAAGGCCCACCAAGGCGACGAUCCGUAGCUGGUCUGAGAGGAUGAUCAGCCACACUGGAACUGAGACACGGUCCAGACUCCUACGGGAGGCAGCAGUGGGGAAUAUUGGACAAUGGGCGCAAGCCUGAUCCAGCCAUACCGCGUGAGUGAAGAAGGCCUUCGGGUUGUAAAGCCCUUUUGUUGGGAAAGAAAAGCAGCAGGUUAAUACCCCGCUGUUCUGACGGUACCCAAAGAAUAAGCACCGGCUAACUUCGUG